GGGCCAGACUCCUACGGGAGGCAGCAGUGGGGAAUCUUCCGCAAUGGGCGAAAGCCUGACGGAGCAACGCCGCGUGAUCGAAUGAAGGCCUUCGGGUUGUAAAGAUCUGUUGACAGGGACGAAUAAGCAAUGCGAAUAGUUUUGUGUAUGACGGUACCUGUUUAGAAAGCUCCGGCUAACUACGUGCCAGCAGCCGCGGUAAUACGUAGGGAGCAAGCGUUGUCCGGAAUUACUGGGUGUAAAGGGUGCGUAGGUGGCAUGGCAAGUCAGAAGUGAAGGCCCGGGGCUCAACCCCGCGGACUGCUUUUGAAACUGUCAGGCUGGAGUACAGGAGAGGUAAGCGGAAUUCCUAGUGUAGCGGUGAAAUGCGUAGAUAUUAGGAGGAACACCAGUGGCGAAGGCGGCUUACUGGACUGUAACUGACGUUGAGGCUCGAAAGCGUGGGGAGCAAACAGGAUUAGAUACCCGUGUAA
rnacentral:rRNA from 1 species